AAGGCCUUAGCUUAAUAAAAGCAUCUGAUUUGCAGUUAGAGGAUGUGAGUUGAUAUCUUGCAGGUUUUA
rnacentral:tRNA from 1 species